CACACCAAUACCUGCGCCUCCGCCACCUGCCUGCCCUCUCCGCGCCUCGCUCCGGGCCUGGCGGCGCCUGGCAGCGCCAGGGAGCCGGUCUCUCCUGGGGGUGUCAGAGCCCAAUCACAUCAGGCUGUAAGAUACCUGAGGACUAUUUGUUUGCAGACUGCUGGAAGACAGAGACCGAAUCACCUAUUGGUAGCAGAACCUGUCAGUAGAAGUUUGUGUUCGAUUCAGUGCAAGUCAUCUGCCUUGUGGGCCUAUCUGAUACUUGGAUCAAAGCUGAAGUGCAGUCAGAAGGAAAGAAGGAAGUGUUCAGAAGAAUUGAAACAAGGCUGGAUUCUCAGAAACACAAAGACAAAUCCAUUUCCUCAGCAAGCUGACGCAACUCUGAAGAUGCCAGUAAGGGAUGAAUGAAUUCUGAAAUUAAUUUGGCUUGCAUUCCCUGACAGUCUCCAUUAUUUUAUGUCCUCCUUUAUUCUUUUUUAAGUGAAUUAA